rnacentral:lncRNA from 1 species
GUUCAGGGGCAGCAACCCAAUAACGGGUUGUCGGAUUCAUCUGAAAAUUUGAGGGCAGAUAGAUCUUGACCUGAUAAACAAUUUUACCCCAUGUCAGAUUUGCUCUAAAUGCUUUGGUUUUUGAGUUACAAGCCAAAAACUGCAUUUUACCCCUAUGUUCUAUUUUUAGCCAUGGCGGCCAUCUUGGUUGGUUGGGCGGGUCACCGGACACAAUUUUUAAACUAGAUACCCUAAUAAUGAUUAUGGCAAUGUUUGGUUAAAUUUGGCCCUGCAGUUUCAGAGGAGAAGAUUUUUGUAAAAGUUAACGAUGCCGGACGCCGGACGACGACGGAUGCCAAGUGAUGGGAAAAGCUCACUUGGCCCUUCGGGCCAGGUGAGCUAAAAAGUAAAUAAAAAGCUUUUAAAUCAGGAUCAAAGCAAUUUAUAACAUAAGCUUUAAACACAUAAACUAAAUUUAUUACAUUGAUUUAGAUCAGUAAAACAAUAAACAAAUAUUCCGAAGAAAAGGCUACAACAUUUUAAGGUGGUAC